rnacentral:rRNA from 1 species
UACGGAGGGGGCUAGCGUUGUUCGGAAUCAUUGGGCGUAAAGCGCACGUAGGCGGCUCAGCAAGUCGGGUGUGAAAGCCCUCGGCUCAACCGAGGAAGUGCAUUCGAAACUACUGAGCUUGAAUACUGGAGAGGAUCGCGGAAUUCCCGGUGUAGAGGUGAAAUUCGUAGAUAUCGGGAGGAACACCAGUGGCGAAGGCGGCGAUCUGGACAGAUAUUGACGCUGAGGUGCGAAAGCGUGGGGAGCAAACAGG